rnacentral:rRNA from 1 species
UACGAAGGGUGCAAGCGUUACUCGGAAUUACUGGGCGUAAAGCGUGCGUAGGUGGUUUGUUAAGUCUGUUGUGAAAGCCCCGGGCUCAACCUGGGAAUGGCAAUGGAUACUGGCAAGCUAGAGUGCGGUAGAGGGUAGUGGAAUUCCCGGUGUAGCGGUGAAAUGCGUAGAGAUCGGGAGGAACACCAGUGGCGAAGGCGGCUAGCUGGACCAGCACUGACGCUGAGGCACGAAAGCGUGGGGAGCAAACAGG